rnacentral:rRNA from 1 species
CUUUUACAAUGAAGAGUUUGAUCCUGGCUCAGGAUGAACGCUAGCUACAGGCUUAACACAUGCAAGUCGAGGGGCAGCAUUUCAGUUUGCUUGCAAACUGGAGAUGGCGACCGGCGCACGGGUGAGUAACACGUAUCCAACCUGCCGAUAACUCGGGGAUAGCCUUUCGAAAGAAAGAUUAAUACCCGAUAGUAUAAUGAAACCGCAUGGUCUUAUUAUUAAAGAAUUUCGGUUAUCGAUGGGGAUGCGUUCCAUUAGGCAGUUGGUGAGGUAACGGC